rnacentral:rRNA from 1 species
UACGGAGGGGGCUAGCGUUGUUCGGAAUUACUGGGUCGUAAAGCGCACGUAGGCGGCUUUGUAAGUUAGAGGUGAAAGCCCGGGGCUCAACUCCGGAAAUUGCCUUUAAGACUGCAUCGCUAGAAUUGUGGAGAGGUAAGUGGAAUUCCGAGUGUAGAGGUGAAAUUCGUAGAUAUUCGGAAGAACACCAGUGGCGAAGGCGACUUACUGGACACAUAUUGACGCUGAGGUGCGAAAGCGUGGGGAGCAAACAGG